GUAGUCGGCAUGCUGCUAUUGCUGCUCUUGGUGCUUUAAGUUAAACUGAAAAUUCCACUUGUUUGUCGUUUAUCGGCGAUGGCCGGCCAAAGGGGAUAACAUCGAGCGAGGUUACGUACGGCGUAAAAAAAGUUUGGUGUGCGCGCACCCGCGCCACGCACUCGUUUCUGGCUAUUCGCUACAGGUAUCUCUAACGCAAUAGCGCAGCUUAAAUCUAAACCUAUUGUGGACCGACACUAAGGUGCACACGUGCCAUGCAAAAGCGACGGGUUACGAAAGUGCGACGGUACUGACAGGGCGGCGCAAUCACACCAACGUCACGAGCAGUCACGAGGAGACUGAGUGUUAACUGCUGAUACGGGAGAGGAGGAGACGAGUAUCUCUAUCCCCUCCUAUUCGUUAAUUUUUUUUUUUUCUUCUUUCGUCUCGCUCUCGCUCUCGCUCGUUCCGUAUUCCUUUGGCACAUCUCGCUUAUUUGUCCUCUCCUCGUUAUUUAUCUCUUUCCUUAAGCCUCUUAUAUACCGUUUCUUUUUCAUGCGGUGUCUCUCUAAGAGAAAGUGUUGUAACGCUUUAUCUAUACAGAAAAGUAUAUACAGUGUUAUCAAUCGAACGUGAUGCAGCUGAAUGAUGCAGCUUCUCUCUUGUAUACUUGUAUUAAUAAAAAUUUCUGUACGCUUCUA